rnacentral:rRNA from 1 species
AUGCUGGAAACAGCGAUGCGGGAAUUCCAAGUGCCGGCACAAAGUGUCGGCUGUUCCAUUGUCUAAAAAACAUAGGAAGUAAGGGCUGGGUAAGACGGGUGCCAGCCGCCGCGGUAAUACCUGCAGCCCGAGUGGUGGCCGUUAUUAUUGGGCCUAAAACGUCCGUAGCCUGCUCAGUAGAUGCCUGUGUAAAUCGAACGGCUCAACCGUUCGAAGUGCGGGUAGACCGCUGGGCUUGGGACCGGGAGAGUCACGAAGUACUCCGGGGGUAGAGGUGAAAUUCUGUAAUCCUCGGGGGACUACCGGUGGCGAAGGCGUCGUGAUAGAACGGCUCCGACGGUGAGGGACGAAGCCCUGGGGCGCAAACCGGAUUAGAUACCCCCGUAGUCC